rnacentral:rRNA from 1 species
UACGAAGGGUGCAAGCGUUACUCGGAAUUACUGGGCGUAAAGCGUGCGUAGGUGGUUUGUUAAGUCUGAUGUGAAAGCCCUGGGCUCAACCUGGGAAUUGCAUUGGAUACUGGCAGGCUAGAGUGCGGUAGAGGAUGGCGGAAUUCCCGGUGUAGCAGUGAAAUGCGUAGAGAUCGGGAGGAACACCGGUGGCGAAGGCGGUUCUCUGGGCAUUACCUGACGCUGAGGCACGAAGGUCAGGGGAGCAAACGGG